rnacentral:rRNA from 1 species
GAUAAACGCUGGCGGCGUGCAUGAGACAUGCAAGUCGAACGAACGAGCUUGCUCGUUAGUGGCGAACGGCUGAGUAACGCGUAGGUGACCUGCCCCGAAGUGGGGGAUAACUGCCCGAAAGGGUGGCUAAUACCGCAUGUGGCGACGCUUUCAUUGGCGUCAUCAAAGCCGCGAGGCGCUUCGGGAGGGGCCUGCGUCCGAUUAGCUCGUUGGUGGGGUAAUGGCUCACCAAGGCGACGAUCGGUAGGUGGUCUGAGAGGACGAUCACCCAGACUGGGACUGAGACACGGCCCAGACUCCUACGGGAGGCAG